AACGAACGCUGGCGGCAUGCCUAACACAUGCAAGUCGAACGAUACCUUCGGGUCUAGUGGCGCACGGGUGCGUAACGCGUGGGAACCUGCCCUUAGGUUCGGAAUAACUCCCCGAAAGGGGUUCUAAUACCGGAUAAUGUCUUCGGACCAAAGAUUUAUCGCCUUUGGAUGGGCCCGCGUUGGAUUAGCUAGUUGGUAGGGUAAAAGCCUACCAAGGCGACGAUCCAUAGCUGGUCUGAGAGGAUGAUCAGCCACACUGGGACUGAGACACGGCCCAGACUCCUACGGGAGGCAGCAGUGGGGAAUAUUGGACAAUGGGCGAAAGCCUGAUCCAGCAAUGCCGCGUGAGUGAUGAAGGCCUUAGGGUUGUAAAGCUCUUUUACCCGGGAUGAUAAUGACAGUACCGGGAGAAUAAGCUCCGGCUAACUCCGUG
rnacentral:rRNA from 1 species